GUUGGUGUGGUGUAAAAUUGAGCACGGAGGAUUUUCAGUUCUAUGGUGUAAGAAAGCUUACCAUCAACU
rnacentral:tRNA from 1 species